rnacentral:misc_RNA from 1 species
AACGCAUAUUGCACCUAUUGGUAUUCCGAUAGGUAUGCUUGUUCGAGUCUCAGUUUUCACCUCACAAAACCAAUGGUUUUUAAAAGCUGUUAUGGCGCCAAGUGGUUAUGUGGUAUUGAGUGUAUUCCCACUUGUUAAACGAGAGGGUCACUUGAAAUAAUUGGUAACUUAUGAGUAGCUUGUUUAUUCAAAAGCUCAAAGUACCGCUAAGUUUAAGCCUUUAUGGUCACUCUUUAGCUGGGAAAUUUUGAAUAGAACCUGUUUUCUCAUUACCAAAAACAAUUAGUAUAAAGUUGUAAUACUAAGAUACUAAUGCUUUUGAACCUUGAGCUCGAAUCAAGCAAGAUUACCCGCUGAACUUAA